AUUGAACGCUGGCGGCAUGCUUUACACAUGCAAGUCGAACGGCAGCGCGGGCAUCGGCCUGGCGGCGAGUGGCGGACGGGUGGGUAAUACAUCGGAACGUGGCCAGUAGUGGGGGCUAGCGCGGCGACAGCGGGAUUAAUACCGCAUAAGACCAGAGGGUGAAAGCGGGGGAUCUUCGGACCUUCGGCCAUUGCGCGGGCGGAUGGCAGAUUAGCUAGUUGGUGGGGUAAAGGCCUACCAAGGCGACGAUCUGUAGCUGGUCUGAGAGGAUGACCAGCCACACUGGGACUGAGACACGGCCCAGACUCCUACGGGAGGCAGCAGUGGGGAAUUUUGGACAAUGGGCGAAAGCCUGAUCCAGCAAUGCCGCGUGUGUGAUGAAGGCCUUCGGGUUGUAAAGCACUUUUGGCGGGAACGAAAAGGACUGUGCCAAUACCACGGUUCGAUGACGGUACCCGCAGAAUAAGCACCGGCUAACUACGUG
rnacentral:rRNA from 1 species